rnacentral:miRNA from 1 species
UCUGUGCUGAAUGGCUGCGAUGGCG